CGUCCCCAAAAAUUUCCUACGGGGAGGGCAAGCAGUAGGGAUCUUCCACAAUGGACGCCAGUCGAUGAGGCCACGCCCGCUGGUGAAGAAGUUUUCGAUCGUAAGCUCUGUUGUUGGUGAAGAAGAUAGAGGCAGUACUGGUCUUUAUUGACGGUAUCAACCAGAAAGUCACGGCUAACUACGUGCCAGCAGCCGCGGUAAUACGUAGGUGGCAAGCGUGUCCGGAUUAUUGGGCGUAAAGCGAGCGCAGGCGGAAUGAUAAGUCUGAUGUGAAAGCCACGGCUCAACCGUGGAACUGCAUCGGAAACUGUCAUUCUUGAGUGCAGAAGAGGAGAGUGGAACUCCAUGUGUAGCGGUGGAAUGCGUAGAUAUAUGGAAGAACACCAGUGGCGAAGGCGGCUCUCUGGUCUGCAACUGACGCUGAGGCUCGAAAGCAUGGGUAGCGAACAGGAUUAGAUACCCUGGUAGUCCAUGCCGUAAACGAUGAGCGCUAGGUGUUGGGGACUUUCCGGUUCUCAGUGCCGCAGCAAACGCAUUAAGCGCUCCGCCUGGGGAGUACGACCGCAAGGUUGAAACUCAAAGGAAUUGACGGGGGCCCGCACAAGCGGUGGAGCAUGUGGUUUAAUUCGAAGCAACGCGAAGAACCUUACCAGGUCUUGACAUCCUGUGCAACAGCUAGAGAUAGCUGGUUCCCUUCGGGGACGCAGAGACAGGUGGUGCAUGGCUGUCGUCAGCUCGUGUCGUGAGAUGUUGGGUUAAGUCCCGCAACGAGCGCAACCCUUGUCUUUAGUUGCCAUCAUUAAGUUGGGCACUCUAAAGAGACUGCCGGUGACAAACCGGAGGAAGGUGGGGAUGACGUCAAGUCAUCAUGCCCCUUAUGACCUGGGCUACACACGUGCUACAAUGGGCAGUACAACGAGAAGCAAACCCGCGAGGGUAAGCGGAUCUCUUAAAGCUGUUCUCAGUUCGGACUGCAGGCUGCAACUCGCCUGCACGAAGCUGGAAUCGCUAGUAAUCGCGGAUCAGCACGCCGCGGUGAAUACGUUCCCGGGCCUUGUACACACCGCCCGUCACACCAUGGAAGUCUGCAAUGCCCAAAGUCGGUGGGAUAACCAUUUUGGAGUCAGCCGCCUAAGGCAGGGCAGAUGACUGGGGUGAAGUCGUAACAAGGUAACCGUA
rnacentral:rRNA from 1 species